AAUUUUUUUUAAAAAAUAUAUAUAUAACAUCAUGUUGGAUCAUUAAUUUUUAAUGGCUUCAAAGUUCUUUCAAAAAAAAUAUUGUGGCAUACAUAUCAAAAUAUGAAUUCAUGAAAUUUAUGAUAUAUCUUAGAGCAUACAUAAAAUGCAAAGCUUUGAAAGUUCUUUUAGAGUUCUUUUAAAGACUUUCUUUUAUUCCUUAGAAAAUAAGCACAAUUUGAUACAUAAAAAUAUGAAUUGGCACUAAAUUGAAGUUCUAAAGAGCAAGCCAAUUAGGACUCAUUAGUGAAUUCCAAAAUAGAUUUUCUGAGAGAUACUCAAGAAAAUUCAACAUAUUAUUCUCCCCCUUUUUCAUUAAGUUAGAGGCUCUUAAGAUCAACUGUUUGAAUUGCAAUUUGGUUCAUGAUUUAUGCAUAAGAUAUAUUAACCAAAUAACAAGCCUCAAGGUGUAUCAUAAAGAUUUUUAUAUUUAAAUUUCAGAUGAUACCUAUUGGAGGAUAUUAGGAUCACUUCUCAUUUAGUAUUCUUUCUCUCUUCUUUAGUUAUGGAUUUAUGCGAUUAAGUUCCAUAUGAUCUCUCAUUCUGAAAUUUUCUUUCU
rnacentral:lncRNA from 1 species